rnacentral:rRNA from 1 species
GUGAUGAAGGCCUUAGGGUCGUGAAGCUCUUUCGCCAGAGAUGAUAAUGACAGUAUCUGGUAAAGAAACCCCGGCUAACUCCGUGCCAGCAGCCGCGGUAAUACGGAGGGGGUUAGCGUUGUUCGGAAUUACUGGGCGUAAAGCGCGCGUAGGCGGAUUAGUAAGUUAGAGGUGAAAUCCCGGGGCUCAACCCCGGAACUGCCUUUAAUACUGCUAGUCUUGAGUUCGAGAGAGGUGAGUGGAAUUCCGAGUGUAGAGGUGAAAUUCGUAGAUAUUCGGAGGAACACCAGUGGCGAAGGCGGCUCACUGGCUCGAUACUGACGCUGAGGUGCGAAAGUGUGGGGAGCAAACAGGAUUAGAUACCCUGGUAGUCCACACCGUAAACGAUGAAUGCCAGUCGUCGGGUAGCAUGCUAUUCGGUGACACACCUAACGGAUUAAGCAUUCCGCC